GCACACUGCACCCUCAAUCGCCACUAACUUCACUGGAUUCCCUUCACUCUAUUAAAGAACGUGGAGAGAACAUCACCGCGUUGAAUACGAUAACUAAUUAAAAAUGUGAACAAGUGAUAUCUAGGUGCUGCGUUCAAGCGCUGGUAACUGUGAAUAGAAACAAAAUGGAGUCACGUACAACACGUGUUUUCUGGCAGAGAUCGACACACGAUAGUGUAUUCGGCUUCGCUACGGAAUAUUAAUGAAGUUCUCAUCGUAAUAUGCUUAUUACAAAGCGCAAUGGUUGCAAAUAGUCUGUGACAAGCGAGGCCUACAAACCCAGUUUACAAGGGCUUUCUUUACAGCUAUCUUUUUCAAUAUCAAUUUUCAUGGCGGAUGACCUAAAGAAGUAUCAUAUCUCUAUUGAAAAGGUGUGAAAGCAGUAAAAAAUAAUGGUUCCUUUAUAAAGGCUUAUAUCCAGAAAGACACCAUAUAAAGGUCAAGCGCUGACAAUCUUCUUCAAUAUUCUUUUGGAGAUAGGGAGUCAUGUUUGACUGGUUAUGGGCCCUGGUUAAAAACUUGGCACUGAGCAUCGUAAUGCAGUAUAAAAUUAAUGAAUUGCUUGGGACAUUAAACUUAUUUUUGCUUGUCUUCUCUUUUCAGGCUUGGAACCUUGGAUGAGAAAAUAUUAUAAUCUUGUGGAACUAUCUAUAAAUAAAAACUAAAUUUGUGUUGUUAAAAA